rnacentral:rRNA from 1 species
UUUUUGUUAAUAAUUUAAAGUUUAAUCUGCCCACUGAUAAAAAUUAAAGGGCUGCAGUAUUUUGACUGUACAAAGGUAGCAUAAUCAUUAGUCUCUUAAUUGGUGACUUGUAUGAAAGAUUGGAUGAGAUAUAAACUGUCUUAUUUUUAAAUUUAGAAUUUAAUUUUUUAUUAAAAAAGUUAAAAUAUAUUUAAAAGACGAGAAGACCCUAUAGAGUUUUAUUUAUAAUUUAAUUAAAAAUUUUUUUAUUAAAUUUAAAUUUAAAUUAGAUUAUAAAUUUUGUUGGGGUGAUAGAAAAAUUAAAUUAACUUUUUUUAAAUUAUAAAUAUAUGUAUUAUAUUAACAUUAAUUGAUGAAUAAAUGAUCCAUAAGUUAUGAUUAAAAGAUUAAAUUACCUUAGGGAUAACAGCGUAAUUUUUUUUUUUAGUUCAAAUAAAAAUAAAAGUUUGCGACCUCGAUGUUGGAUUAAGAUAAAAUUUAAAUGCAAAAGUUUAAAAUUUUUGAUCUGUUCGAUCAUUAAAAUCUUAC